GCCAGCCGCCGCGGUAACACCGGCGGCCCGAGUGGUGAUCGUGAUUAUUGGGUCUAAAGGGUCCGUAGCCGGUUUGGUCAGUCCUCCGGGAAAUCUGAUAGCUCAACUAUUAGGCUUUCGGGGGAUACUGCCAGACUUGGAACCGGGAGAGGUAAGAGGUACUACAGGGGUAGGAGUGAAAUCUUGUAAUCCCUGUGGGACCACCUGUGGCGAAGGCGUCUUACCAGAACGGGUUCGACGGUGAGGGACGAAAGCUGGGGGCACGAACCGGAUUAGAUACCCGGGUAGUCCCAGCCGUAAACGAUGCUCGCUAGGUGUCAGGCAUGGCGCGACCGUGUCUGGUGCCGCAGGGAAGCCGUGAAGCGAGCCACCUGGGAAGUACGGCCGCAAGGCUGAAACUUAAAGGAAUUGGCGGGGGAGCACAACAACGGGUGGAGCCCGCGGUUUAAUUGGACUCAACGCCGGACAACUCACCGGGGGCGACAGCAAUAUGUAGGCCAAGCUCGAAGACUUUGCCUGAAUCGCUGAGAAGAGGUGCAUGG
rnacentral:rRNA from 1 species